UGGGUUUGAAUUGGGAUACUCAAUGGAAAAUCCAAAUGCUUUAGUUAUGUGGGAAGCUCAAUUUGGUGAUUUUUCUAAUGGAGCUCAAGUGAUGUUCGAUCAGUUUCUGAGUGGUGGGGAGUCAAAGUGGCUACGCCAAAGUGGACUAGUUGUGUUGCUUCCUCAUGGUUAUGAUGGCCAGGGUCCUGAACAUUCAAGCGCAAGAUUGGAGCGUUUCCUUCAGAUGAGUGAUAGUGAUCCCUACGUUGUGCCUGAGAUGGAUUCAUCACUUCGAAAGCAAAUCCAG
rnacentral:misc_RNA from 1 species